UACGAAGGGGGCAAGCGUUGUUCGGAAUUACUGGGCGUAAAGGGCGCGUAGGCGGUGCACUAAGUCAGGCGUGAAAGCCCUGGGCUCAACCCGGGAAUUGCGCUUGAUACUGGUGCGCUUGAAUCCAGGAGAGGUUGGUGGAAUUCCCAGUGUAGAGGUGAAAUUCGUAGAGAUUGGGAAGAACACCGGUGGCGAAGGCGGCCAACUGGACUGGUAUUGACGCUGAGGCGCGAAAGCCAGGGGAGCAAACGGG
rnacentral:rRNA from 1 species